UACGGAGGGUGCAAGCGUUGCUCGGAAUUAUUGGGCGUAAAGGGCAGGUAGGUGGUCUCAUUUGUCCGGGGUGAAAUCCUUGAGCUUAACUCAAGAAGUGCCUCGGGGACGGUGAGACUAGAGUUUUGGAGAGGGUCGUGGAAUUCCCGGUGUAGCGGUGAAAUGCGUAGAGAUCGGGAGGAACACCAGAGGCGAAAGCGGCGACCUGGACAAUGACUGACACUCAACUGCGAAAGCGUGGGGAGCAAACAGG
rnacentral:rRNA from 1 species